GGGAUGUAAUGCAGUACAGGACAUUACCACACUCCUUUCUUCUUUGGAGGAUUCUCCCCUCAAGACUUCAGUGCCACAGAGGGAAGGAGCUGUGCAGAGACCAUCCAGUUCACUGACUACUCCAUGGAACUCAAGAACAACGGUCAUUAGAAAGGAUAAAGGGAAGCAAUCUGUAGCCUCCUCUCUCCCCCACCCCCUGCAGUUUCUCAUCUCAAUAGGUACACAGGGCUGCCUUGUCAGAAUACACUGAACAACAACUGGCUAUUCACGCAUAAAAAGGUUUUCCGUAAGUGUCCCAUUAAUGGCCCUAUGCUGGAAUGUGAGAUUUGAUGGGCUCAAAUACAGAGAAAUUUUGUUUCAAGGAAUCAAGCAUCUUGUGCAAAGCUUUCAAAAUGUAAGAUGGGACAACUGAGAGAGUUAAAGAGAGAAAUGACCUACCCAAGUCACAAAACAAGUCAAUCCAGGAGUAGAACUCAAGAGCUUUUGGCUCCCAGCUCCACAUGCUUACUUUGGAUCAUGCUACCUUGCUGCCAAUAUACGACAGUAAUAACAAUUUACUGCACAUCUCAAUAAAGUGCAGUAUGUUCUGUGUACUUAAGCAGAACAAUGCAUUUUUUUCUCAUUAAUACUAAGUCUAUUUGUUGCUCAGCAGGACUAAUAUUUAUACAUUCUGGAUCUUGUGAUGAAGUAGUAAGCUCUGAUUUCAGUUAAAUCUGACAGGUUCUGAUAGCAAAAUGUCAUUAUAGAACUUCAAAAGCACUUGCUCCAUAGCAAGAUCUUUACAAUUAUUUACAUAAUAUCUUUCAACUCCUGUUGGCUCCUUGAUCUUCUAUGGAAAUCCCAACUCCUCUGCCAGUUUUGGUUUAUGAAAAGUUGACCCUUAAGGCAUAACUAUUUAAAAAAAGAUAUGCCAAAAUGUUACAAGAUAUAGUAGA